rnacentral:rRNA from 1 species
AUGGGAUUAGAUACCCCACUAUGCCUAGCCAUAAACAUAGAUAAUAAUAUACCUAUUUUAUCCGCCNGGGUACUACGAGCAUCAGCUUAAAACCCAAAGGACUUGGCGGUGCUUUAGAUCCACCUAGAGGAGCCUGUUCUAGAACCGAUAAUCCCCGUUAAACCUCACCCUUCCUUGCCUAGUCCGCCUAUAUACCGCCGUCGCCAGCUUACUCUGUGAAGAUCUUGUAGUAAGCACAACUGGUACAGCCCAAAACGUCAGGUCGAGGUGUAGCGUAUGGAGGGGGAAGAAAUGGGCUACAUUCAAUAAUAGUAAUGAACACGAAUUAUGUUUUGAAAUAGACAUUUGAAGGAGGAUUUAGUAGUAAGUGGAGAAUAGAGCGCCCCACUGAAACUGGCCCUGAAGCGCGCACACACCGCCCGUCACUCUCCCCGAGCUAACAUAAACUAAUUACUAAUAAAUAAUAACUGUAAAGGGGAGGCAAGUCGUAACAUGGUAAGCGUACCGGAAGGUGCGCUUGG